rnacentral:rRNA from 1 species
UGGGGAAUAUUGCACAAUGGGCGCAAGCCUGAUGCAGCCAUGCCGCGUGUGUGAAGAAGGCCUUCGGGUUGUAAAGUACUUUCAGCGGGGAGGAAGGCGACAAGGUUAAUAACCUUGUCGAUUGACGUUACCCGCAGAAGAAGCACCGGCUAACUCCGUG